rnacentral:pre_miRNA from 1 species
UGGACAGAUUAUUGUAUUCGACUGUAUUCACGGCGUGAAACAUGGGAUUACACUGUUUUUAAAACGGAAAGUGAAUCAAUUAACAUAAUAGACUCCU